UGGGGAAUAUUGCGCAAUGGGCGAAAGCCUGACGCAGCGACGCCGCGUGGGGGAUGAAGGCCUUCGGGUUGUAAACCUCUUCGGCAGGGACGAAGUUGACGUGUACCUGCGGAAGAAGCGCCGGCUAACUACGUGCCAGCAGCCGCGGUAAUACGUAGGGCGCGAGCGUUGUCCGGAAUUACUGGGCGUAAAGGGCGCGUAGGCGGAUUUGCAAGUUAGGGGUGAAAUCCCGGGGCUCAACCCGGAACUGCCUUUGAUACUGGCGGUCUUGAGUUCGGGAGAGGGGAGUGGAAUUCCGAGUGUAGAGGUGAAAUUCGUAGAUAUUCGGAGGAACACCAGUGGCGAAGGCGGCUCACUGGCCCGAUACUGACGCUGAGGCGCGAAAGCGUGGGGAGCAAACAGGAUUAGAUACCC
rnacentral:rRNA from 1 species